GACAGCUCAGUUGGUAGAGCAUGAGGCUCUGAAUCUCAGGGUCGUGGGUUCAAGCCCCAUGUUGGGCA